AGCAGCCGCGGUAAUUCCAGCUCCAAUAGCGUAUAUUAAAGUUGUUGCAGUUAAAAAGCUCGUAGUUGAAUUUUCGGGAUUAGUACGUCGGUCGUGCCUUGGUACGUACUGGUGUAACUGAUUCCUCCCUUCUGACGAACCGUCAUGCCAUUAAUUUGGUGUGGCGGGAAAUCAGGACUGUUACUUUGAAAAAUUGAGUGUUUAAAGCAGGCUCGCGCUUAGAAUACAUUAGCAUGGAAUAAUGAAAUAGGACGUUAAUCCUAUUUUGUUGGUUUCUAGGAUCGACGUAUGAUUAAUAGGAUAGGUGGGG
rnacentral:rRNA from 1 species